GUGGCUGUUUCUCGGCAGCUCGGCCUCUCCACCCAACGCGCCGAGCGGCCAGGGGGCUCCAUGCCUCUACGGCUUGGCCAUAGCCAACAGGGCACCAGGUGCUAACCGGCUGAGCUGCCGAGGGAUCGCUGUGCAGGAGCAGUGACGGAUUUAGGAUGUAAAUCUAGGAAGGCUUAGUUUCUUCUUCUUCUUUUUCCUCACUUCUCUUUUCUUCUUCUUCUUUCUCCUUUUUUUCGUCUUCCUCUUCUUCAUUCAUGGUUAAAAAUUGCUGGAGAAUUCCAUAGCCUGCAUAGAGGUAGGGGGGCUCCAGCCCCCCGCACCUUCUGGAUCCACCCCUAGGCAGGAGAGCAGCGACGUGGCAAGGGUGGUAGGCCGGCAGCAGCACGGGUGACAAGCGGGGCUGACGCACCAGCCGUUUUAUUGCCUUGCAAGAAUUUCCUGCCUAGCAUUACGCAUCCAAAAAUUCAGAAAAAAUAUUCUAAAUUCAUAUUUUCAUGUCUAGUAUUUAAUUAAAUUAAGUAGAGCAACAGUUUCAUAACAAAAUUAGAGAUGCUUCAUAAACACUCAUUCAAGCAAUAAACAAAAAUAAAAAAACCAUGUGAAACAUGCUUAUGCCUUAAUGCUUGAUUAUGCCAAAUGAUGUUCAUGCUUAGUUGUUAGUAAUGUUUAUAUGUUUGGGUUGUGACAGGGCGAACAGGAGAGGACCGUUGAGAGCUGGGAAAAAAAUUCUCUACAUCCGGCUGCAGAGAAGCGGCACUGCAGCCUGAUGCCGAUUCGCGACACGUGUCCAGCCCACGCAUCUUAAAGCAACGGAGCUUCCAGGCCCAUUAACCUCGGCUCGGCUCAAAGAAACAGUUUAUUUGUACGGCUUCGGCUCGUUUCCUGUUCCAGUGGCUGGUGCUUGGUCGGAUCGGAAGAGACCAAGCCAUGGCCGUCGGAGCCGCAUCUCGCAUCUAAUCUCCGAGGCUCCGACUACCGCGCUGCCUGCGGACGACGCCUACGGCGGUAACUGCCGAGUCCUCUCCCACCUCCUAGCUCCUGCGGUUGCGGCAUCCCGUCCCCAACGGCCUGCCCUCGUGGUGGUCGCGCACGCCGCCGGCAGCUGGCCGGAGUCACCUCCGAACUGACUUAAGGAAUCAAGCUAAGUCAAUUCACGUUGAAACUGCCCCUGGAAGCAAACUGAAGAGGACAAUCGAUAGACAUUGUGCUAUAAACAGGUUGUUGUAUUAGUAUGUCUAAUGCCGAUGGAGCAGCUGACCAAAAUAUUUAAACACUAUCACAACUAAUAUUUUGAGAUGGCCUCCAUCAAUAUGUUUUUGGAGCUCCUGAACCUCAUGUAUUUUGAGCUCAUAGUAGAGUUGUGAAGUGUAGUAUUCUGUUUGCCUAAUACGAGUUUUAGAGGUGUGGAUAAUCUCAAAAAUAGUUUGCUAACGCUUAUGAAAUGACAUUUAUUUUCAGAACUAAGCUUAGCAGGUUAUGAGAUAGGUAACAUCAUGGCCUUGACAAUGUUGCGCAAUUGGAAACAAUCAGUGCUAGGGAGAACAACAAGACUCGGUGCACUGCUGACAAAGAUGGACAUGUUAUCAUCAAUACAGGCGAAUCUGAAGCUGAUAUGUGCAACAAAAAAAUGAGUUGAAAAUUUCUGGACAAUGAAGAAAACAUCAUAUGAGGUUUUUAGGUUGGAAGAGAAGCAAAGAUAAGCAUGUGUACUCUGUAUGCUAGUAUUGCUCAGUGCUUGCUAGCCUGAUUGUAUAUCUUUGGUCUGUAACCUCUAUACUCUUUAUUAGCCAGUGAUCAAUUUUCUGUAGUGAUCAGUUCUGAUUUCUAUUGUCACAAAAACAACGGAAAUGGAUUAUUACAGCUCCAGUUACAUCGAAAUUUACAAAGAGUGUCUA